UACGUAGGUGGCAAGCGUUAUCCGGAAUUACUGGGCGUAAAGCGUGCGCAGGCGGUUUUGUAAGUCAGAUGUGAAAUCCCCGGGCUUAACCUGGGAACUGCGUUUGAAACUACAAGGCUAGAGUGUGGCAGAGGGGGGUGGAAUUCCACGUGUAGCAGUGAAAUGCGUAGAGAUGUGGAGGAACACCGAUGGCGAAGGCAGCCCCCUGGGUUAACACUGACGCUCAGGCACGAAAGCGUGGGGAGCAAACAGG
rnacentral:rRNA from 1 species